UAAAUGGUCAAUCACCUUUUCAAAAACUCUGUUUUUUCUUUUCUCUCAAUAUUUUCUUUUCUUUUGUAUUCAAUCUGUGUAUCCAAGAGAAUCCUCUACAGUGUUUUUUUAAUCGGCCUUAUAUCCGAAUCCAAUAGAAGAGAAAAAAAUCAAAAUCAAAAUAAAAGAAUAAAAAUCCAUCCCUUUUCUCUGCUAUUUUUUCUAUUUUAUAUUUUCUGUUGCUCUUGUUGGUGUUGUUUGUCUGUUUGCUUCGCAGGUACGCCAGCUGAAGACGCACGUGGCGUGGACGGAGGUGGCCGUACGGAGGCGCGUUGGCUGCGGCGCUGGAGGCUAUCAGAAACCCUAGGGUUUCUGUUUUCGUUUUGGGCUUCAAUGCAAUUGGGCCGGAGUAUUUGGGUUUGUAACCGGGUUUGGAGAUUGGGCUAAUUAGGCUUAGGUUAGGUUUGGGCUAGGGUUUGGGUCUGGUGUUGGGUUUCUCGGGUUUGGGUAUUGUAUUGGGUAUUAGAUUAAAACGAUUUGGGCCAUGCUGGGCCCAUGUAUUUGGACUUUGGACUUUUAAAUGUUGAUUUGGUUUA